UUUCGAUGCAACAGUUUCUUUUUAUUGACAUAACCAAGAUAUUUUAACGUUCAAAAUGAAAGUAAAUACAAUGAAAUGGCAGUUUGCAGUCAGCCUGUUUCUCCUAGAUCUUGUAAAAUUGACUUAAAAGAUUACAUGGAGAGUGAUCUCAUUUGUUUUUAAAAUACCAUUUGUAUUUGUACUUAAGGAUAUAAAUAAGUGGAUUGGAAAGGUACACAACAAAUUAAACGCUCACUUUUGGAAAGCUGUCAACCAAGAAGGGUAGAACUGAAACAGUCAGAGGACUUUCUCUAGGUACUUGGAUUUGUUUCCAUUUUUAGCAGCCCUAUAGGAAAGUACGUGUGUCCCUUCUGAAGAUGGUAUACAUCAGCUUCACGUUCCAGAAUAAAGAAAUAUUUACAGAGUAGUAUGCCCCCUCUCCUUCCUUCUUGAGGAUUGAUCUCAUUGCUCGUUUGUCUUUCUCAGUUUGAAAUUGUUCCUGAAGAUGACCCCCAGAAUGCCAUUGUCAGCUCUUCCGCAGAUGCUUGUCAUGCAGAACUGCUCAGGACUAUAAGCGCUACUAUGUAAGUUGACCAAAAGCUUGAAAACAGGCUAAAAGAUCACUGUUGGUACAGUGAAACCUUUUCUCUUGCUUUUAAUGGGUGGAGAUACCUUAUUUUAUAGAAACCUAUCCUGGAUCCUCCUGACAUUGUGCCAACUAGAGCCUCCACAUUAUCAAAGUCAGGAAAGCUUAUCCUGUUUGUUCAUACCACUAUUCUGUUCUUAAACCCAUCUUCAUCUCCCGCUAAGCUCUCAAACUAAAAUUAUCCCUCUCCUGUUUAGGGGGAAACUAAUGCCUAACCUGCUUCCAGCUGGAGCUGACUUUUUUGGAUUUUCUCAUCCAGCCAUCCACAACCUGAUCCAGAGCUGUCCAGGAGCUCGAAAAUGCAUCAAGUAAGUGUGGUCAAAUUCAUUCCCUUGAGAAAAGCUCAGUGAUCAUCCGGCCAGGGACUGGCAGUUCCUACUUUGUUCACUGACCUUCUGUGUCCAAAGCCUGCCUGCUUCUCGACCAGUAGGGCUCAGUAUUGGCCCCCUUAGCCCGCUGGACAGGUAAGCAAGAGCCAGGACUCCACUGUUCGCUGAUUAUUACUAUUUUCUGUAUGUACCAUGACAGCAAAAGGGGUGGGAAAUCUAGCAGAAUAAUUUGUCACUAAAGAGGCCUGCUUAUUUCUUCUAGGUUUUUGUUAGCAAAUAUGUGUUUUAGAUAUAUAUGGGCUGAAUAUAAAGAAAAAUUACCUGAUCCCUUUAGUGAUAGGAAUGGGUACUUAUGUCUAGCAGAUAACUCUCAAGGGUGAUUUCCCUUGAUUCUGCAGUUACCAGUGGGUGAAAUUUGAUGUGUGCAAACCUGGAGAUGGGCAGCUACCUGAGGGGCUGCCGGAGAAUGAUGCAGCUAUGAGCUUUGAAGCCUUUCAGAGACAGAUCUUUGAUGAAGAUCAGAAUGAUCCCCUUCUGCCAGGAUCCUUGGACCUCCCAGAGCUUCACCCUGCAGCCUUUGUGUCUUCUUACCAGCCCAUGUACCUGACACAUGAACCCUUGGUAGAUACUCACCUGCAGCACUUGAAGUCUCCAUCACAGGGUAGCCCAAUUCAGUCUUCAGAUUGAACAAGAAGGGAUCAGAUGCCACAUCAUUUUUGUCGUGAUUAAUUUAACUUAAACUAAAAUUUUGGGUAUAUGGAAGAAGGCAGCAAUUGAGAAGUAAAGAAGAUAUUAACGUAUUUCAUCAUGGAGGGUCCUGUGGUGAUGGUUUUCCCUGGGAAAACCUUCAGCUG
rnacentral:sRNA from 1 species